rnacentral:rRNA from 1 species
UACGAAGGGGGCUAGCGUUGCUCGGAAUCACUGGGCGUAAAGCGCACGUAGGCGGGUCUUUAAGUCAGGGGUGAAAUCCUGGAGCUCAACUCCAGAACUGCCUUUGAUACUGAGGAUCUCGAGUCCGGGAGAGGUGAGUGGAACUCCGCGUGUAGCAGUGAAAUGCGUAGAGAUGCGGAGGAACACCGAUGGCGAAGGCAGCCCCCUGGGUCGACACUGACGCUCAGGCACGAAAGCGUGGGGAGCAAACAGG